rnacentral:rRNA from 1 species
UACGUAGGUGGCAAGCGUUGUCCGGAUUUACUGGGCGUAAAGAGCGCGCAGGCGGUCGUUCAAGUCGCGUGUGAAAGCCCCCGGCUCAACUGGGGAGGGUCACGCGAUACUGAUCGACUCGAAGGCAGGAGAGGGUAGUGGAAUUCCCGAAGUAGAGGUGAAAUUCGUAGAUAUCGGGAGGAACACCGGUGGCGAAGGCGGCCAUCUGGACGGACACUGACGCUGAGACGCGAAAGCGUGGGUAGCAAACAGG